rnacentral:rRNA from 1 species
GAGNACAAGGAGCUGGUAUCAGGCACACAACAUCAAGCCCACGACACCUUGCUUAGCCACACCCCCAAGGGUAUACAGCAGUGAUAAAUAUUAAGCCAUAAGUGAAAACUUGACCUAGUCAAAGCUAAAAGGGCCGGUAAAACUCGUGCCAGCCACCGCGGUUAUACGAGAGGCCCAAGUUGAUAGACUCACCGGCGUAAAGGGUGGUUAAGAGUAAACUAAAACUAAAGCUGAACAUCUUCAAAGCAGUUAUACGCUCCCGAAGAUAAGAAACUCAACUACGAAAGUGGCUUUAUAACCCUGAACCCACGAAAGCUAUGGC